CAGUCGCCGCGGGAAUACGUAGGUGGCAAGCGUUGUCCGGAAUUACUGGGCGUAAAGCGUGCGUAGGUGGUGGUUUAAGUCCGUUGUGAAAGCCCUGGGCUCAACCUGGGAAUUGCAGUGGAUACUGGAUCACUAGAGUGUGGUAGAGGAUAGUGGAAUUUCCGGUGUAGCAGUGAAAUGCGUAGAGAUGUGGAGGAACACCAGUGGCGAAGGCGACCCUCUGGUCUGUAACUGACGCUGAGGAGCGAAAGCGUGGGGAGCGAACAGGAUUAGAUACCCCCGUAGUCCCUGUCUCUUAUCC
rnacentral:rRNA from 1 species